UUAUGAGUUGGAUGAAAUUGACUGGAAAAGGAUUUUGAAGACAACCAAGAUUUUGUAGGUCCUUUUGAGAAGGUAAUCAGGGUUCUUAUUUUUGUAUAGUAGGGUUUUCCUUUAUCACGCAGCAUUUUGAUUGACAUAGUUCUAUUUAUGUCUAUGGGUGGGAUGGGGAGAAGGCCACUAAAGCCAUUUUCUGUUAAUUAGUAACACAUUAUCUACUAAUUGUUAUUUUAUUUUUGUCUGACUUUUACUUGCAUUUGUUGAAUAGAUAUGUUUUUAGUAUCGAACAAAUUAUGUCUCUUAACUUAUGGUGUGCUUGAUCAGACAUGUAUUGGAUUCAUACUUAACAUUUGCUUGUAAACUUAAACAUCACUUCAGUACUAACCGUUGGUUUAUGGAACACUUUAUCUUGGGUUAUUUUUGAGCUUUAAUUGUACAGUGCCAAUUUGGCCCACAUCUGUAGAGGAGAGACCAUCUACAGAAUCAGCCCUACCUCAAUUCCUUGGAGAGGAAGUUUUCAAUCCCCAAGUAUAAAAGCAAUGCUCUGCCCUAAUUGAAGUGGACGAGCAACCGGUAAGGAAAACAAAAAUCCUCCUUUUCCCUUUGAAUCUGUGACAGUUACAAUUAGUUAUAUUGAAUUCAUUUUCCACUUUUAAAUGCUUGCUAGCUAGUAGACAACAGAACAAAGCUUUGUCGAUGUUAGCUUUUCUUUUCUCUACCAAAGAAUGGUUGAGUUCUUUUGUCGCCAUGUUGCUAAGAUUCUGUUGUGAUUGCUCCAAUUUGUUUGUUUAGAAUUUCAGUAAGUUUGUUGAGAAGAUCUAUUGAAUUUCCAUGUUUCUGUAUAUUUUUACCAGCCUACCUAUGAUCUACUUGCAUUACUCUCUAUUUUUAGAAUUUUGCUAAGUUUCCUCUGCAUUUUUUUACCCCUUUAUAUAAUGUUUACUACAUGAGUUCUUUUGGAAGUUUUUAAAGAGUUUGUAUGCUCUUAGAUUAAGUUGACUGAUCUCCAUUUUCUAGCCAUGUUUGUGAAGUUUCCAGCCCAUUGUCUUUCAUGCUUCAACUUUUGUUUAAUGUCCACAGUUUCCUAAAACAUGAUUUCCACUCUCUUUUGAAUCCAAGUUUAUUUUUAGGUUAUAUUCUGUCUUUCAGUGUUCUCUUUCAAGCUUUCCAAAAGUAGGAUGGAGGUCUCGAUUUCCCACACUUAGUUAGAUUCAGUUUACUCUCUUAUUCCUAGUUCUCAUAUUUAAAAUUCUAGUUUCCCAUAUUAGUGUUUAGGUCCACUUUAAUCCUUAAGGAAGUGGUGGCUUACACCAAACCUCAUAUAAGCAACUUCAUUGUUGUUAGGAAUAUGUAAGGUGCUAAAAUAUAGACCUGUAAGCAUUCUUUUUAAUGGUCGAGUUGAACCUUGAAAAGAUGUUAUUUUUGUCUAUUCUUAGUCAUAUUUUUCUGACAUGGCUUUGCUAUUUUGCGCACAUCCAAUGUUAAAUUCUUCAAUUAUGAGCAAUCCUUGAAAAGGUGAGUAUGCAUUUCAAUAUCAGUGAGUUUGUUCCCUAGUCUGCAUAUUUAUGAUUAACUGGAAUUGACAUUAUUCCAUAUUUGACCGGUAAAGAAUUGUUCAGUUGUUCCAAGGAGAGUGGCACUACCACAUUUUCUAUAAGCUCUGCUCUGUUGUCCCUUCUGGUCCCCAAGGUAUGUACUCAGCUUUUCCCCAAUUAUUUAGUUUUCGACCUGUAUCCAAGGAGAGUGGUCCUAUCACAUUUUCUGUAAGCAAAUAAAUUGCAUAUCCAAAGUAAGAAUUCACGGGAAAAUGGAGUUUGGAAAUAACAGAAAAAUGCUGCAAAAAUGAGCUAAAAGAGAAAAAAAUGGGAGUGCUAAUAGAAGAAUGGUUGAAUUCUAUCGUUGCUUGUUGCUAAGAUUCUGUUGUGAUUGCUCCAAUUAGUUAGUUUAGAAUUUCUGAAAGUUUGUUGAGAAGCUUUAUUGAAUUCCAUGUUACUGUUAUUUUUCUAGCCUACCUAUGAUCUACUUGCAUUGCUCUCUGUUUUAACACAUUAGUUUAGAAUUUGCUAAGUUUCCUGUGAAUGGAUUUACCCCUUCAUAUGAUGUUUAUUACAUACUUCUUUUCGAAGUUGUUAAAAUCAAUUUCUAUGCUCUUAGAUUAAGUUGACUGGUCUCUAUUUUCUAGCAACUUCAUUGCUGCUGGGAAUAUGUGUGGUGCUAAAAUAUAGACAUGUAAGCAUUCUUUUAAUGGUCAAAUUGAACCUUGAAAAUAUAUUAUUUUUGUCUAUUCUUAGUUAUAUUUUUUUGACAUGGCUUUGCCAUUUUGCACACAUCCAAUGUCAAAUUCAUCAAUUAUGAGCAGUCCUUCAAAAGAAUUGUACAGGUUGUUCCAUGAAGAGUGGUCCUAUCACAUUUUCUAUAAGCUCUACUUUGUGUCCCUUCUGGUCUCCAAGGUUUGUACUAAGCUUUUCCCCAAUUAUUUAGUUUUCGACAUGCAAAUGUACCUUUUUCUCCUACAUAAAUGAAGAUUAGGGGAAUAGUUCAAAUACUUUUGGACGUGGUGAUUACUCUGAUAUACUUUUUUCUAUUAUUAUAUCUGUGGCAUACAAAAAUCUUUUUUAUAAGCUUGUAUCAUUUUUACUUAAUAGCUGUUGGUGUUUCAUUGUUAAGAACCUAUUUUCUUUAAAACAUACCAAAGCAUGAAUGUAACAUAUAUUGUUGAUGAUGCAUAAGUCAUUGCACUUUUCUCUUAAUAAAAAAAUCAUUUAUUGCCUAAAACACAUGUAUAGCUUUUCUGGAAAAUAUUAUAACCGGAAGCCUAUGAGUAAAUGAUUUCUGAUCCAAAACAUUGAUAAUGAACAAAACCUUCAUAAUCUUAUGGUCAAUGACAGGUCUUGAAUAUGCACUGUAUGGUUAGCUACACCCAUUUGUUUUUGUCGUACACAGUCAUUAUUCAAGCACCCAACCACUUUUGUGUCUGGAGAGGUUAUCUUUAGUGAAGAAACUGAUCUUUUUACUGAGCUUUCUAAUCUUUUUUAGCAUAUUUAUUAAUUAUAGCAUAUGUUUCCACCCCUUAAGUAGUAGCCUUAGAUUCUAUAAAGAUGACCAGGAACGCCUCAAAAUGCUUGCUACAGUUUUGUGGCUGGGAAACAAAAGCACAUCGAGGUUUUUCCUGAUGAAGCUUGCUUGACGGGCUGUAAUGAGCAAGAUCUAGUGCUUACAAUGUGAAAGUACGAGUGGGAUCCGUGCCAUUUGAACAAGUUCUUAAUUUUUUGUGUGUGCGCGCAGUGUAAAUUUUGUGUAUGAGUAUUUAGUGUGUGUAUUUCGUGUGUAUAGCUCAUGUAUAUUGUGUAUAGUGUGUGGAGUUUGUUUGUCUUGU